rnacentral:siRNA from 1 species
AUUCACACUCUUUUCGGGUUU